rnacentral:rRNA from 1 species
UACGGUAGGGGGCGAGCGUUGUCCGGAAUUAUUGGGCGUAAAGAGCGUGUAGGCGGUUCGGUAAGUCUGCCGUGAAAACCUGGGGCUCAACCCCGGGCGUGCGGUGGAUACUGCCGGGCUAGAGUGCGGAAGGGGCUACUGGAAUUCUCGGUGUAGCGGUGAAAUGCGUAGAUAUCGAGAGGAACACCUGCGGCGAAGGCGGGUAGCUGGGCCGACACUGACGCUGAUGCGCGAAAGCCAGGGGAGCGAACGGG